rnacentral:lncRNA from 1 species
CAAUGGCACGUUGAACCUACCGUUCAGCUUCCCGACCGGCAAUAAGUUCGACACACGGAACUGCGAGAACGAUAACUUGCUCAAGUGGCAGUACUACCUGGAUGACGUCGUAUCGGACAUGGGCAUCACCCCGACGGAUUUCCACCACAAGGUCAUUUACUUGCCCCCAACCUUCGUCGGAUAUAGUGAGUCCGGGCCUUGUGGCUCAGGGGAAUCGUUGCGCUGCUGGCAUAUCUCAUACCCUUGGGCCUUCGGCUCGUAUGGGUAGUUUUACAGGUAUGGGGUCACACAACCCCAACCAUGUAUCACACACAUAUCUCAUACGGCUUUCCCCGCCAUUUCCCCAUAGAGCUGCCGCUGUUCCUAGGCUGUUCCUUAAGCGCCAUCGUGAUAUACUGGCUCCUUACUGCUAGCUCGCCAGCAAAUACCGCGCCUGGCCCAAAUCCUGGCACUCCAUGGUCACGCUGUGUUAUACUACGCUGUGCGAGUACAUUACACCGGAUGUAUUGGCCACUCUCCACCUCCUUGCAGGAUGCGACAACUUCACAGGCACUGCCUCCUUGGGCCCCUGGAUUAAAACUGACAGCAAAAUCAAUGAGUACGGCACGGGUCUCAUAUGGAUGGCCGGAGACGUGUUCCCGAACAUUGAGUACUUCUUUCACGAGGUUGGUCACACCCUGUCUAUGGGACACGCCACCAUCCCCAACGGCUGCGAUUCGAGAGACCAGUGCGACCACACCUGCCCCAUGGGGCCCACGGACGGCCAGGGCAUCCGCUGCCUUAACGCGCCGCACAUGUGGCAGGUGCGUAUUCGUCAUGGUGCUACGAACGUCGGGUUGCCGUACAUAAGGCAGGACGGCACGAUUCACGGUUUUUACGAUGUUAGGCAGGCGUGACGAAAUCAGCGGAUUGGACGGCUGCGUUCAUGGCUGAGCCGCCCAGGCAAGGGCCUUUUAUAAAUGACGCCUGCUAGCACGAGUGCAUCGCUAAAUCUGUGAGGGAGAAGCCAUCCCUCACCAUUCCGCAUGCGCAUCUUCGUUUUUUGGUCUCGUGCGUUAGUUGACUACCGGUAUUGUGUACGGUGUGCAGUUGAGAAAAGGUUUUACUCGGUUCCAUUGCUUAAAGCUUGCCGCAACGGCCAGUCCCCCUUCGUCUUUUGCAUACGCACUAUCCGGGCCGAAACACCAGCUCACGGUCUUUUCCUAGGGCUCUGGUGCUCGAUGUAAUACCUGCUACUACUAACAGUCCAAGCCUGCCGCAAGCCCUGAAGUCAUGCCUCUUGACUUUGGUAUCGCCCCGCCUGUUUGUUAUGCAGCUUGGCUGGAGUCAACCCAUGCGGCGCCUCACUGAGUCAGAUCUGCCGUACGGUGCCAGCCAAGAAAUCUUGAUCCCGAGACAAAUGUCCACCAAGGACAGCUAUGUGGUCGUGUCGGGAGUCAGGGGCCUGGUGCCAACUGACGCCAUGUACUUUGCUGUCCGCAUGAAUGAGUACCCGUACGAAUUGCCAUUUGAGGUGAACGAGCCGUACAUCGUAGUGCAUUCGUACAACGGCACAUCGACGGUGCCAUACAUGCAAACGGUGCUUCUGGGGGAGAUAUCCGUGAAUAACAGAUUUGUUCAUAACACCUCAAAAGUGGUCGUGAAGUUCAUUGGCUGGGAUGCCGUCCGUGGUGCCACUGCGCGCUUCUGUCGCCGCUCGAGCACGCGAGAGCAGACCUGUGGCGAUGGCCUGGACGACGACUGCGACUUUCUGCCGGACGAGCUGGACCCAGAUUGUGCCGGCAGGCCUGUUACCGGCAACAGAGAGAGGCCGCCACGGCCUCCACCCCAACGGAGCUACAGACCACCAACGCCGAGGCCGUCACCACCGCGGCCUGGGGGUUUACAAACAGGGUAAACAGGAUAACGGUUGCUUUCUGCGACUCAGCGAAGCAGCAGUGGUGCAUUUCUUAGGGUUCCCGGUAAUGGCGAUAGAGACACAAUCUGGACCGCUAACUUGCAGGUCCUCAGUGGUAACAUUCAUCUGCAUGUGUUGCUCAUAGCACUGUAGCCUGGGUACCUGCAAACAUGCGAGAGAUGUUGGCAUGUCCUCGGGGAGGAUGUGUCUGAGAGCGCUAGUGUGCUAGUCCAGUCCGCCAGUCCAGUACACACACACACACACACACACACACACGCGCGCGCGUGCGUAGACAUGGAGAGCGCUGGGAGUGUAGUCCUUUGUUCUGCAGUGAACAAAUGCAGUGUUCCAAAUUGUUGGCGGCUUGUAGUAUAGUUGUUGUUGGCAAGUGGCAUUAGCUAAUAGGCGCGGGUUGCUUGUUGGUUGGCAUGUAGCGCUCGUUUACAGCUUUGCCUCCCUGCAUCCAGUGCAGCCUUAGGCCUUAGUUGGUGGAAAGCCAGUACAGGAGUCUGUGAAGAUGCCAGGCAAGGCAGAGACUUGUGAUCUGCAGCCUCUGCAGUCUCUGGGUAGCGACCACGGCUACAUACGGAUGGCUAUGGUGGCUAAGUUCACUUAUUCACUGCUGCUGCGUCAACUGCCCGAUGCAGCGUCCCUACCUAACGAGGUAGCUUCCAGACAGCCAUUCCGCCGAGGACUGAUAGGUUUGGCGGAGUGUCUUAUCUGCACCUCUUCGGCUAUACAUUUGAUGGGCGGGGGUGCGUGCAAGGCCGACGUACAUGCAGAGUAGUUGCAGGCUCGCGGAGAAUUGUGCCAGUAGUGUGCGGUGUUGUAGUAAAUAACAUUUCAACGACAUAAUUAACUAGGCCAUAACAGCGCAUACCGCAUGUGUUUUAUAAGGGCCUUAGGCAGCUUUACAGGUUAGGCAGUCAGUCAUCCGUCAACCGGGCUGACUUCCGGAAAGUUAGUUCAUUCAGAGUUCAUCCAUCCCGCAGGCGCCGUGGGGGCCUGAGAUGUUAAGCAUGUAUGUGUAACAGUUUUUUAUGGUCACCUCAAUCUCUGAUUCCGACGGCAUGCAACCGUGGAGCUAGAGGCAUGCUCCUUCCAAUCAUAGUGCCAAGUACGGCCCCUUGCAGCAGAGCGCGCGCGUACGUUAAUUAUCGAUCUGUUAGAAGACAGCUGACGUAUCGCCAGCACCGCGAACGGUGCACAGGUGUCCUUGACCUUAGGUGCAGGAUGGGAAAGUGGAUAGUGGAAGCAGGUUUAUGUUGGGAAUGUUAGCAGUGGCGGCAAGGAUAGUAAGCAUUUGCUUCUGCAGGUACAGCAUUACGGGUGCAUGAGGCUACUUGCAAGCUGUAUGUAUGUAUGUAUGUAUGUAUGUAUGUAUGUAUGUAUGUAUGCAUGCAUUAUGUUGCCCGAAAUUGUGCAAGGCCAGGGAAACGUUGGCCCCCCUGCUUGCUUUGUUACCUAUCUUCGCUGCCCGGACCCAGCUUUCCGGAGUUAUCUGGAACAAAGCCAAGCCGCCACGUACUGUGUGGACGCGCAGAGGCAGGCGGUGGAAGCAUGAAGCGCGUGCGGGGGGGAUUGCAACACGUCCCUCACGGCUCGGGCUGUCUGCAUGAUCAAAUCUGGUCACGAGCGUUAAAUACCACCUCCUGGUUAUUAUAGCUUCCGAGGGCUCGUCAUUAGUUGGAGAGAUGGAUGGACAGAUGGAUGGAUUACUUGUUUCGUUGGAAGUGCGAGGUAGGAUGGUGCUUAUAGGCGAAUUGGCAGCCCUUGAGCUCUCGGCUCGUAUUAGGGUGGUUUGCAGGUACAGGGAACGCACCCACGGCAGCCACCAUCCGCAUUUCAGAUCUGCUGCAACAGGAUGAUAGAUAAGCAGCAAAUACAAGAAAUCCGUCACCACUUCCUGACAGCUUUCCUUACACUGCACUUCUCGGCUGGGUCCAGUCAGUGCUGGCAGGCAGGUUGGCUUCCAUGCAAGCCGUCUUUAGAGCUCUCCUCGCGUAAACUCGUACUUAAUGAUCGCCAGGCAAGAGAGCUGAAUGAUUUAUGAAUGAUGGAAUGCCUAUGGACUCAUUAUCAAUGGCUGACAUAGCCAGAAGCAGAGAUGAAUUGGCUUGGGGGAAGAUGCCCUAUCGUGUUCCCGUUUUCCGUCUGGGCUCCUUAGAUACUUAUUAGGUUGUGUGGGAUGAUUUUUGCAUAUGUUAGCAGGUGCGGGCCCUAGCAAAUUAUUUUAGGAUAAGUCGCAGCGUUUCCUUUUGGCGGGCUUUGCAGCAACUCCAUGUAUCAACGCGCAACACCUUUGUCGCUGGAGAAGCGUCUUCCUGUGCGGUGUAAUAUCUAACAAGCAGAUGUCGAAGUUUUACUGCAUUGCUACGACUGCAAACGCAUUCGAUGCAAUUUGUACUGCUACAGCACGUCCAGGAGCAACGCCCCUUGCAGUCGUUCUGCAGUUACGUAUUACUAGGAAAAAAAUAAACUUAUAUAAGAGCGCAUUUGGGAACCGAAAAAUUGCCCUGCUGCUUGCCAGUGUACGUUGCGAUGAGAAGGAUACUGCCAACGAAAAGGACUCGCGGCCUGAAUCGAUCUUGUUGCAUCACUUCGUUCAAGCCUGUUGCUAGCAUAAUACUGCAUGGCCUCGUCGUUUGGGCCUGCUGCGACGCCAGGCAAACACCUCGAGUCCAACCAUAAGGGCAAAUUCCCUUCCUCUACAAAAAACUACGGGCGCCAAGGACCAUUGAGCUUUGUCGCCAGCGCUAAGCUUUGUGCACGAGUCCUCUGACGUAAUAGUCUUUAAAUUGCACAGUUUUGCAUUUUACAUGUAUACUGAAGACCAAUACACUGUGUGGCCUUCAUUACUAGCAUAUAGUGCCAGAUGCUACCAAAUUUGCAACUAUGUUUUUAAUUGGCUGUAGUACCGCCUCAGGGGAAGCUACGCUGUGGCAUACAAGAUGUAGCUUAAAGUUUGUUGUGAAGCUGAAAAAUCCGGAUCCGGCAAUGAUUACAAAAAGCUGACACACCCACAAAGCAAAUAUUGAUCACAAUACAUCCUUAACGAUCGAUUCGCUUCGACGUUAUCUUGGCAGGUUUGGGGAGUCCAGCGAUAGGUAGUUUGCACCUAACACUCAAAAAGCUGCCGCCUGCUGGUAUAGAGAAACUCUCCCGCACGGAGCUCGAGGAUUUUAAUCUAUUCGCUGAGUAUAUCUGCGGUCCUGGAAAAGGUCAGUGGUCGGUGUUGAACAAGACAAUCACCUGUCGCCUGACAGUUAUUUUAACCUUGCAAAAAAGUCACCGGUGCCUACAAAUGCCCAGCAGGUUCUUUCUAUGCCCUUACACCGGUCUUGAUACGCGCGUGGUCGCAGCGACCGCGGCCAACUUGAGGGACAAUCAUGAGAACAUCAGCAAUAUUCACCCUUCGGGCGUCAGUCCUCAUACUUACCUGCAUUAGCCACCUUGGUCUUAUAUCCCAGGCGACAUUUGAUGAAUCUAGCGGGACAGCGAAGGGUAAGCUCUGCUUCCAAAUGGAGACCGAAUUCCCCAAAGGCGUCGGCCAGCGCCAAUAAAUCGAGAAGCUUUAAACUCACGCCUGUGACUACAGGAAGCUUACUGAUGCUCAUGUCGUCUAUUCAUGGCGGCCAAGACGCUUCGAAGUAUUACCUGCGACAAGAUGACGGACAAAUGUACAGCCUCUCCUUCUGCAGCGAGUUGGGUUCGCUCGGCCUGGCAUCCAAUCUUCGGGUUCAGGUGAAUUACAACCGCAUUGAGGAUGGCGUCAUGUACUCGUGCCAAAUUCCCGUUCCGCUGGAUGACGACUCGCCGUCGUCGACGCCGGUAUCGGCGUCGAAGCGGCGCGAGCUGUUUGGACCCACCAUCUCCACGCCCAAACGCCCCACCUUCCUCAUAUACAUCGUCACACUCUGCGGUUUCAGUCAACCGGCGGUGGCUACUGCCUCGGUGAGUGUCAUGCGGCGUCCUCCUGUGCCUUCUAUCCUCUAAAGCCCUAGCAUCAUUACGCUCGUGAACUUAACGCUUGCUAUCUCCGGUGCCACGUCAGUAGAUCGUAAUCCUGUUAGCUACAUGUCACAGCUGAUGUAACCAGAGUUUUAGAUCUUGUUGCCAUUGCCCCGCAAUCGCACGAAUCGCUACGGUGCAUGUAUGCCUCGCGACUGCUUUAAAUGGGAGGUCUGUUCGGGCUGGUUGUAUGCUUGUAAGCGACCCACUCUCCAUUCCUCGUCCCCAUCUCACUUUAUAAACCCCUGCCACCUAACUCUUCCGUUAGCGCGUACCUUAUGCAGCUAUAACCCAUCCGUUUUCCUUCCAUCCGCAGAGAAUGCGGGAUUUCUUCUUCAGAAACAACUCGAUUUCUCUUUCGGGUUAUUACGACACAUGUUCGUACGGACAGAUCUCCGUGCUACCGGAGCAAGUGGAGAUUGUUACCGGGCUGGAAAUUCCUUGCAAUGGCACGUUGGACCUACCGUUCCGCUUCCCGACCGGCAAUAAGUUCGACACACGGAACUGUGAGAACGACAACUUGGUCAAGUGGCAGUACUACCUGGAUGACGUCGUAUCGGACAUGGGCAUCACCCCGACGGAUUUCCACCACAAGGUCAUUUACUUGCCCCCAACCUUCGUCGGAUAUAGUGAGUCCAGGCCGUGUGGCUUUGGGGAAUCUUUGCGCUUCAGGUUUACAGCUCAUACAGCUUUCUCCGCCAUUUCGCUUAACAUGGCGCUGCUCGUGCCGCUGCUCCUUGAGGCUGCUCCUUGAGCGCCAUCGUGAUAUGCUGGCGGCCUCCCGCUGGCCCGCCAGCAUAUGCCGCCCCUGGCCCAAAUCCUGGCACUCCGCGGUCACGUUAUGUUGGGCUACACGCUGUGUGGGUAAAUUACUUACACCGGAUAUAUUGG